AUUGAACGCUGGCGGCAUGCCUUACACAUGCAAGUCGAACGGCAGCGGACCUUCGGGUGCCGGCGAGUGGCGAACGGGUGAGUAAUAUAUCGGAACGUACCUUUCAGUGGGGGAUAACGUAGCGAAAGUUACGCUAAUACCGCAUAUUCUGUGAGCAGGAAAGCAGGGGAUCGCAAGACCUUGCGCUGAUUGAGCGGCCGAUAUCAGAUUAGCUAGUUGGUGAGGUAAAGGCUCACCAAGGCGACGAUCUGUAGCGGGUCUGAGAGGAUGAUCCGCCACACUGGAACUGAGACACGGUCCAGACUCCUACGGGAGGCAGCAGUGGGGAAUUUUGGACAAUGGGCGCAAGCCUGAUCCAGCCAUGCCGCGUGAGUGAAGAAGGCCUUCGGUUGUAAAGGACUCUUUCGGUCCGGGAACGGAAA
rnacentral:rRNA from 1 species